ACUCAAAGGAAUUGACGGGGGCUCACACAAGCGGUGGAGUAUGUGGCUUAAUUCGAGGCUACGCGCAAAACCUUAUCCCAGGCUUGACAUGCACGGAUUAGCCGGCGGAAACGUCGGUGACGCGCAAGUGGAACGUGCACAGGUGCUGCAUGGCUGUCGUCAGCUCGUGCCGUGAGGUGUUGGGUUAAGUCCCGUAACGAGCGAAACCCCUGUGUCUAGUUGCCAGCGGGUCAUGCCGGGAACUCUAGACAGACCGCCGGCGUUAAGCCGGAGGAAGGCGGGGAUGACGUCAAGUCCUCAUGGCCCUUAUGCUUGGGGCUGCACACGUACUACAAUGGGGCGGACAGAGCGAGGCGAUGUCGCAAGGCCGAGCUAAUCGCAUAAACCGCUCCCCAGUUCGGAUUGCGGGCUGCAACCCGCCCGCAUGAAGCCGGAAUCGCUAGUAAUCGCGGAUCAGCAUGCCGCGGUGAAUGUGUUCCUGAGCCUUGCACACACCGCCCGU
rnacentral:rRNA from 1 species